rnacentral:rRNA from 1 species
AUUGAACGCUGGCGGCAUGCCUUACACAUGCAAGUCGAACGGCAGCGGGGGAGAAGCUUGCUUUUCCUGCCGGCGAGUGGCGAACGGGUGAGUAAUACAUCGGAACGUGCCCUGUAGUGGGGAUAACUAGUCGAAAGAUUAGCUAAUACCGCAUACGACCUGAGGGUGAAAGUGGGGGACCGCAAGGCCUCAUGCUAUAGGAGCGGCCGAUGUCUGAUUAGCUAGUUGGUGGGGUAAAGGCCUACCAAGGCGACGAUCAGUAGCUGGUCUGAGAGGACGAUCAGCCACACUGGGACUGAGACACGGCCCAGACUCCUAUGGGAGGCAGCAGUGGGGAAUUUUGGACAAUGGGCGAAAGCCUGAUCCAGCAAUGCCGCGUGUGUGAAGAAGGCCUUCGGGUUGUAAAGCACUUUUGUCCGGAAAGAAAUGGCUCUGGUUAAUACCUGGGGUCGAUGACGGUACCGGAAGAAUAAGGACCGGCUAACUACGUGCCAGCAGCCGCAGUAA